rnacentral:rRNA from 1 species
GUUUAGCGAUGGGGUGACGCAGGAAGGUAGUCCAACCGUGGCGAUGGUAGACCACGGCCAAGGGUGUAGGACGUCUGGUAGGCAAAUCCGCCAGGCACGUGUCUGAGACCUGAUGGGGAGCCGUUUGGUGAAGUGGAUGAUCCUAUGCUGUCGAGAAAAACCUCUAGCGAGCUAUGCGCCGCCCGUACCCCAAACCGACUCAGGUGGUCAGGUAGAGAAUACCAAGGCGAUCGAGCGAACUGUGGUUAAGGAACUCGGCAAAAUGCCCCCGUAACUUCGGGAGAAGGGGGGCCGGAUCCGUCAAACUCCUUGCGAGUGGCAGCGGUGAUGGCCGCAGAGACCAGGCCCAAGCGACUGUUUACUAAAAACACAGGUCCGUGCGAAGUCGUAAGACGAUGUAUACGGACUGACUCCUGCCCGGUGCUGGAAGGUUAAGGGGAACUGUGAGUGUAUGCG